CCUGGAUUGGAGCAUCACCUGAUGGAGAGGAUGGGGUCAUGGCACUGAGACACAUCCACAAGUACAUGUUUCGAGUGCAUUUGUGCAGGCACAAAUGCACAUUGCAGAGUGGUGAAUUUCAUCAAAACUGGAGUGCUACCUGAGCUGCUGGGGAAAUGGUAUACAGCACCACGCCUUACUCCCAUAGACACCACAGCCACAAAACAGCCACAUGAAGCGGGAUGCUACUGCGGUCAACCUGCAGGCAUAGAUGUCAUAAUUUGCACAUCUGGAAACUGUAGGCGAAAGCACUUUCACAAG
ensembl:lncRNA